CCUACGGGGGGCAGCAGUGGGGAAUAUUGGACAAUGGGGGGAACCCUGAUCCAGCCAUGCCGCGUGUGUGAAGAAGGCCCUCGGGUUGUAAAGCACUUUCAGUGAGGAAGAACGCCUGGUGGUUAAUACCCAUCAGGAAAGACAUCACUCACAGAAGAAGCACCGGCUAACUCCGUGCCAGCAGCCGCGGUAAUACGGAGGGUGCGAGCGUUAAUCGGAAUUACUGGGCGUAAAGCGCGCGUAGGUGGCUUGAUAAGCCGGUUGUGAAAGCCCCGGGCUCAACCUGGGAACGGCAUCCGGAACUGUCAAUCUAGAGUGCAGGAGAGGAAGGUAGAAUUCCCGGUGUAGCGGUGAAAUGCGUAGAGAUCGGGAGGAAUACCAGUGGCGAAGGCGGCCUUCUGGACUGACACUGACACUGAGGUGCGAAAGCGUGGGUAGCAAACAGGAUUAGAUACCCGAGUAGUC
rnacentral:rRNA from 1 species